CGAUGUUGGUAAAGUUGCCGUCGUCGUCGAGCCAUUCCGGAAAAUUACUGAACUCUACGAAAAAUUCCUGUACAUUGCUUCUUCGCAACAAGUUUGUUUGGUACAAAAUAUCGGAUUAUAGGAAGCAAUUUCAGCUUCAGUAUCCUAUGGGGUUUCAACAGGCGUUUGGUGGCCAAUCUUUCCAGAACGGUCUAGGUUUAAACGCAAAUUAUGGUUACCUGCCGUACUGGGACGGAGGAGACUGGAUAUUCUCGACAACACAGAAGACGGUAACCGCGGAAAACGAAGCGUGCGGCCAAGUGUGUCCCGACAUGUUCCUAGAGUACGGAAAGAUAUGUGGCCGAGGCAGGAACUACACAUACCUGACAUUCAACAGUUAUUGUGAUCUGUUAAGGGAAGACUGCUAUGGACGCGAAAAAUGGAUGAUAGCGUACCGCGGGGAGUGCCAACAGGAGAUGAAGACGUACCCGACUAAGUCCGGGCUGCUCAUCUCCCGCGCUAUGCACUACAUUGAAGAGUUCAAUAACGGCACCACAGAAAACUUUGACCUCUCAAAAUUUUGGACUAAUUGAUUGUCAAUAUCUUAGGCUGGGUUGUAUUACUAACUUUUUUUUAAUGAAAAAAAGGGGCGAGACUAGCAGGACGUACUGAUAGUAAUUGAUACGCCCUGCCCAUGACAAUGCAGUGCCGCUCAGGAUUCUUGAAAAACCCCAAAAAUUCUGAGCGGCACUAAAACUGGGCUCGUCAACUUAAGACAUAAGAUGUUCCGUCUCAUAAUUUCACUAGCUACGGCGCCCUUCAAACCGAAACAUAGUAUUGCUUACACAUUACUGCUUCACGGCAGAAAUAGUCGCCGUUGUCGUACCCAUAAUCUAGCCGGCAUUCUGCGCAAAGGAGCCUCCCACUGGUUUUGUAAUUUUUGAGAAGCUUAAAAUAUGUAUGUAUACUAAUAGAAUUCUAGAAGGUGUAGCACCUAUUCAUUCAUUUAUUAUGAGUCUUAUGUUAUGCGUUCUUAUGAAAUACGUUCUUUCGUAACAAGCUCACUUUUAACCAUCCCUUAAUUAUCAGCUAGCAAAUAAUGUACCUAUUAGGAUUAACCUUUUUUAUAACCCAGAAAUCUUGUGUCAAUUUUGACACAACUUUUUGGAUUACUUAGAUUUCUUAGUUUAGAUUAUUUAUUUAAUUAAUUUGAGAAGAAAACUAGUCGCAUAAUGAGGUUUGAUAUAGUUUAACAAAUAUGAAAAUGAAUAUAUGAGUUAAUGUUAGGGACCUUUAAUAAAAACAUACUAAUGGCCUUACAAAUAAACUUGGUAUAAAAUUAUACCUGAGAAUAAUCCAAGAAUAUGCAAAGUGUUCACAAAUAGACAUUUUCCGUAUAAUUGGCGUUUAUUUGCAAGGCUGCUUGACAUACGGAAAACUUCAGAAUUAUCAUUGUAUUGACAGUGUUGUCAACGAUAUAGUCACCAUUUUGCAUAUUCUUAGUUUAUUCUUAGGCAUAAUUUUAAUCCAAGUUUUUUUGUAAGGCCAUAAGGGAUACAAUAUAAUCUUGUAUAAAGUAUAAUAAUAUAGUUAACCUUAUACUUUUCCAGCAAGACAAGACGCCAGAUAAAUUGGAACUUUAUGUUAAGUAAUUUCUCAGAUUGCCAACCAAUAUCCGUCCGGAAUCCAGAUUUUACUACAAUCAAUAAUCUUUGAUGUGAACUUACUAAACAGAACAGAGAGUAUUACUGUGUUUGAAGUCUUUUAGUAUCUUUACAAGAUGUAAUUCUAUUUCUGUAGUAGAUAACAUGUCAAUAAUUAUUAGAAUCGACGCCUUCUUGUUAUAUUAUAAGGUUGUACUUAUGU